rnacentral:lncRNA from 1 species
GUUUUUCUUAGGCAAUCAGGAUGAGUGAAAAAUUUAUUUGCAGCUGACCUGCAAAUGGAAUCAUCAGGAACAUCCCUUUCUCAUGGAGUCCCUUAAUUUACAAGUUAACUGCAAACAUAGGAGAUGAUAGUUCCAAGAAGGAACAUUUUAUCGUCUUUGUUUUUAAUCUCAAGAAUGGUACCUACCAUCAGUGAAUGACCUGUUGCAGUGCUUUCAUUGAAGUGUUCUUCAUUCCCUCAGCAAUAUGAUUGUGAUGACUGAAAAAGAGAAACUGUGCCACUAUUUGUACCAUCAUUUUCACCAAAAUCUAAAAAUGCUUUUUAUGACGUAUGGAGACAUUCUUCAUGUUUGUUUCAGUGGACACUGCUUGCAGAUGUAAAAAACUGAGAAAACUCACUUUUGGAAAGUGACCUAAAGAGUGUCAUUGAAGUGAAUUUUAAGUAGGCACGAUGAUUGUUUUCAUGGUUGCUGUUGGAUCAUAUCUCAGGAGCUGGAAUGACAGACAUUAUUGAACAAAGAAAUCAGGAUAGUGGAACUUAAAGGGCUUCAUCUCAGUGCUUUCAUAAGUAUGAAGUGCAUAUAUUUAUAAUUUUCACUAAUCACAGGGUAAAUAUAAAAUUGAUUCAUUAAAAAUGUUUCAUAAGAAUUCAAAGGACAUAGAAUUUUGUGAAAUGUAGUAUUUUUACUUAAGUGCCUUUUCUCUAUUUCUACCCCACAGCCAAUUUUUUAUAAACCAGUUGAUACAUAAGUAGUUUUGGGGGGAUGAUACAUUACUUAUACAUUUUCUAUGUAGUAAACAUGUAUGUGUAUGUGUGUGGGUGUGUGUCUAAUUACUUUGUUGGACUGAUUCCUGUGGUUUGGAACUGCUGGGGCCAAGUUUAUACAAAAAUCUACAUUUUUGAGUAAACUCCCCAUGACUCUAGUAAGUUCCCACGGUAUUUGAGAAUUCUUUAUUUCCUAAAGCUGUACAAACAUCAGAUAAUCAAUAUUUGUAAGGAUCGAUAAUAUAAUUUAUAAUGAAAUUGCUUUAUCAGCUAUUAAUGUUAACUACAUCAUCUUCAUAUAGCCUUAUAACUCAUUUGUGCUAUUCCAUUUUCCUCUGUUCCUUUUAUUUUCACUUCCCUUGUAAUGUUAGUCUCUUUGUACUGAUUUCUGAAGAGUUCAUUUAUGAUUAAACGUGUUAACAUUUUGUCUAGAAUUGCA